rnacentral:tRNA from 1 species
ACUAGAAUUAGUACUUUUAGUACUAGUACUAUUACUACUAGUAUUAGUAGUAAUAAUACAAGUACGUGCUGGUAGUACAUAUUAGUA